rnacentral:rRNA from 1 species
UACGUAGGCGGAAUAUUAAGUCAGUGGUGAGAUCCUGCGGCUCAACCGUAGAACUGCCAUUGAUACUGAUAUUCUUGAAUAUAGUUGAGGUAGGCGGAAUGUGUAAUGUAGCGGUGAAAUGCUUAGAUAUUACACAGAACACCGAUUGCGAAGGCAGCUUACUAAGCUAUGAUUGACGCUGAGGUACGAAAGCGUGGGGAGCGAACAGGAUUAGAUACCCUGGUAGUCC